rnacentral:rRNA from 1 species
UACGUAGGUGACAAGCGUUGUCCGGAUUUACUGGGCGUAAAGAGCGCGCAGGCGGUCGUUCAAGUCGCGUGUGAAAGCCCCCGGCUCAACUGGGGAGGGUCAUUCGAUACUGAUCGACUCGAAGGCAGGAGAGGGUAGUGGAAUUCCCGGUGUAGUGGUGAAAUGCGUAGAGAUGCGGAGGAACACCGAUGGCGAAGGCAGCCCCCUGGGUCGACACUGACGCUCAGGCACGAAAGCGUGGGGAGCAAACAGG